AUUGAACGCUGGCGGCAUGCUUUACACAUGCAAGUCGAACGGCAGCGCGGGGGCGAUCCUGGCGGCGAGUGGCGAACGGGUGAGUAAAACAUCGGUACGUGCCCAGUCGAGGGGGAUAACGUAGCGAAAGUUACGCUAAUACCGCAUACGAUCUAAGGAUGAAAGCGGGGGACUCUAUAGGAAUAUAGAUCCUCGUGCGAUUGGAGCGGCCGAUGACAGAUUAGGUAGUUGGUAGGGUAAAAGCCUACCAAGCCUGCGAUCUGUAGCUGGUCUGAGAGGACGACCAGCCACACUGAGACUGAGACACGGCCCAGACUCCUACGGGAGUCAGCAGUGGGAAAUUUUGGACGAUGGGGGCAACCCUGAUCCAGCAAUGCCUCGUGCAGGACGAAGGCCUUCGGGUUGUAAACUGCUUUUGUACAGAGCGAAAAAGUUUUCGAUAAUACCGAAAAUUGAUGACGGUACUGUAAGAAUAAGCACCGGCUAACUACGUGCCAGCCGCCGCGGUAA
rnacentral:rRNA from 1 species